CAAACGUGGAAUCCAGCUCGAGCGCGAGAGCAGGAGCAUUAUUCGACGGACGGCAACGAGGCUCGGUGAGAUGGUAAACGCUCGUCCAGUCGGCGGGCUACAGGAGAAUUGAACGGCGUUAGGCUUAACGGCGAUUCCCGACCAACCCAGAGAGAGUGUAGUUGUAAAACCCGCCGCGGAAAGCGAGCGAGCAUUCACGGCGCAUGACUGGUGACGUCUGCGCACGGCCGGGAACGGGAGCAUUCUUCCGAAGGACCCCAACCAACCCUACCUCGACGGUCCCGAAUUUUGCUGGACGGCAGCGAUAGCAUCAUCUUCGGUCGUCGCCUGCCUUCAGGGUGUCUGGCCGUCAUAUUGAACCACAUGGUUCAGCUCGGAAAGCCGUUUUCGUACCCGGAUCGCUGUAAAACAGCACUAGGCCUAACGUACCCUUGUCGACAGGCUACCCGCAGGCAUACGGGGAACAUAACGUUGCGUUUUGCUCUGGCUUUUCAAGGGCCAGCCUGCGACGCUGGGAACAAUGCAGCGGCAACAAGGCAACAAAACGUGGCGAGCACUGCAUCAGGCCGUACAAGAAACUCCGCGACGACCGACUUAGCCAGCUCUGUGACCGUCGUACAGCCACUAACACACUAUGGCGGACAUACGAUUCGCACUGCAUGCCGGGCUUGUUCGGCAGCUUUGCCGAAUGUGACGUCACUUUUCCGGAAACUGCCGAUCCGAGCUACCACCACCACGAAGGCCGUCAGAUUCGAUUUGGCAAAGAUGACGCAAUUUACACACAUCGCUCGCAUUUGUAUAAUAAAACGGCUUCACUGAGACCCCACCCCCAUUGCAGGAACGAAACAUUUACGAGGGACUCAGAAAAAGACCUCAAGACCGACUAUUCUCGCAGCAGACGACGCUUUAUUGCAACGUAAUGCGCAGUAGCCAAAAUCACUUACAAAACAGAUUUUCGAUGCACCAAAAUGAUUGACCUGACUUACUUGUCGAGAAAAGAGCGUGCUCACGAGUGAUUUUUCAGCAAGUACAGUGGUACAGUUACCUGGUUGCAAUGUUAUUCCCACGGUUAUUCCGUUGCAGUGCCAAGACACCUUGCGCCGCCUGUCGAAAGCUCUGGAAACUGACCUGCACCUGUCACGUGCUAAAAGUCCAGGAAAUGCGGGAGCAAGAGGCAUUAUAUAAGGAGUGGUGCCAUCUGGGGUUCUUCAGAUGAAACUUUUGGAUUUGAAUUUGACCUCGAGCAUAUACACCACUGAUCUCUAUGUAUUUUACAAUCGAGAUCAGUGAUAUACACCGUUUUCCAGCCAGCCUCGCGCCCAGCGCUUUCGCACCCAGCACAUUACAGCAAGGAGGAAAGCGAUACCACGGAGGAAACAUACGUCCCGUGUGUUUUCCUUCUCUCUGGCAUGUGCGGUAUACACAGAGAUCAGUGGUAAACACCCUUCUACGUGCUUCCCCAGCUAGACAGCGAAGCGGUUCAAAUAUGGCGACGUCCACGGGAAAACUGUGUAUAAUUCAGACGGAGCACUUUUUUCGCCCAGUCUCCGAGCUCCAAGCGGCCGCUAGUCGCCAUAGCAACGGCUUACACCUAGAGGCAGGCCCCGCACACCCCUAGCACCGGCCCUGGUCCCAGUUGGUCAUCUCCGCCUGUGGACACCGGUAUAACCAUGGCCAUUCGAGUCGCCGCCUUUCGUCCGACCAAGCAUUCAUCCACGACGACGUCAGACGUCGUUUGGAACGACUAUGAAAGACAGCGCCAGAGAGAUCACGACCAAUGUUGCCAAGUUGGAGGAUUUCCCUCCAGAUGUAGAGGGUUAGUGUCGCCGCCUAGAGGGAAGAAUUUCGAUUUAGAGGCUGGAGGGAAAUCUGGAGGUUUUGGUUUCGGUUUACAAAAUUGAUGAAACAGCGCCCAGAAGCCUACGUCUCCGGAACAAUCCUACCACAGGAAAACAAUUGAACUGACUUUGCUUUCUCUCUUCUGGUCCUAGUAGAGGGUUGUUUUGGCGCAACGAAUAUAAUAAAAAAACGAAAUGUGAAACCGUA